AAACGGGUGGGCCCUCGAAAUCCUGUGGUGGGAGCAUUCAGUCGGGGUGUCGCGUCGCAGGCUGGGCAUGCUUUAUGGUUCCCGUGACGGGGCCGGCUCGGCUAGCGUUGCGCGGCAAGCUGACGCAUUUGUUUCCCAUCCGAAGGACGCCGCAACCGGUUGGUGGACGGUCUUAAGAGCGAGAGCGGAAGGUGGCCGGCGGCGCGCCUCGUGUGUGUCGCCGGUUGUUAGCCAUCUCGCAGGACGGCCCGUUCGCCGACCGUGGCAAUAAAGAGGCCCGGCUGGGCUUCGUCGUCUCCUCCUUGAGUGGCGAGUGCACAAGCGUCGCAGGAGUUCGUGAGCAGUGUGAUCGCACGAAGCGAGUUCGUGGCCACACGCUGCCUCGUCUCUGUUGGCUGAUGCAUGACUCGCGGGAGUGAUUGACGGUUUGCGGCGAGUAGAUCGGUCACCCACCCGACCCGUCUUGAAACACGGACCAAGGAGUCUAACAUGUGCGCGAGUCAAUGGGUCUUGAAUAAGCCCGGCGGCGCAAUGAAAGUAUAGGCCGGCGGAGGUCGGCCGCAUUCGGGAUCCCCGCUCCCUCGCGGGCGGGGCGCACCGAAGACCCGCCGCGUUCCACUCGUGGAAGUGGCGGUGUUUGAGCGCACACGUUGGGACCCGAAAGAUGGUGAACUAUGCCCGGACAGGACGAGGCCAGAGGAAACUCUGGUGGAGGUCCGUAGCGGUUCUGACGUGCAAAUCGAUCGUCAGAUCUGGGUCUAGCGGCGUAAGACUAAUCGAACCAUCUAGUAGCUGGUUCCCUCCGAAGUUUCCCUCAGGAUAGCUGGCGCUCGUUGAAUUCAGUCUCAUCCGGUAAAGCGAAUGAUUAGAGGCCUUGGGGUCGAAACGAUCUCAACCUAUUCUCAAACUUUAAAUGGGUGAGAAGUCCGCCUUGCAUGACUGAAGGCCGGACGUGACAGGAUGAGAGUGCCCAGUGGGCCACUUUUGGUAAGCAGAACUGGCGCUGUGGGAUGAACCAAACGCCCGGUUAAGGCGUCCGAUGCGAGACGCUCAUGAGACCCCAUGAAAGGUGUUGGUUGCUCUAGACAGUCGGACGAUGGCCAUGGAAGUCGGAAUUCGCUAAGGAGUGUGUAACAACUCACCGACCGAAGCAACUAGCCCUGAAAAUGGAUGACGCUCCAGCGUUGGGCCUAUACCGGGCCGUUACGGCAGAGCUUCCCCCGUGGAGGUUUUCGCCGUAGUGAGUAGGAGGGUCGCGGUGGCGUGCGUUGAAGGUGCCGGGCGUGAGCCCGCCUGGAGCCGCCACCGGUGCAGAUCUUGGUGGUAGUAGCAAAUACUCAAGUGAGAACCUUGAGGACUGAAGCUGGAGAAGGGUUCCAUGUGAACAGCAGUUGAACAUGGGUCAGUCGGUCCUAAGGGAUCGGAGAAAUCCGUUCCGAAGCGAGACGUUGCCCAUACGCAAACACCGCACGUGUUUGUCUCGCUGCCGACCGAAAGGGAAUGGGGUUAAUAUUCCCCAACCCGGACACGGAGAUAGGUCCUUCGGGACCAAGUGCGGGAACGCAACCGAACUCGGAGACGUCGACGGAGGACCCGGGGAAGAGUUAUCUUUUCUUUGUAAGAGUUCGUGUCCCUGGAAUCGGCUCGUCCGGAGAUAGGGACGCUGUUCUCGUUGAAGCACCGCGUCUCUUGCGGUGUCCCGUGCGCCU
rnacentral:rRNA from 1 species